ensembl:lncRNA
CCUUAAAGGGGCUGGGGAAAGGGAGAGGCUCUUCGCCGUUAGUGCCGAGAACCUCGGAUACCCCGCGCUCGCCGUGAGGCGAAGAAAACUGUCCUGGGGGAGCACCAGUGUUCCCGAGAUUUUGCCAAAGUUUGGAGAGCCCGGAGGCAAGGCUACAGUCAAAAAACUUCUGUCUAUGAGCGAAAAAGCUGACCUAUACCAGACACUGACUCUGCUGGCACCAAGACCUUGGACUUCCCAGUCUCCAAAACAAUAGAAUUCUCAGAAAGGCCAAUGGCAUUUUGAGAGUGGAACCUGGAGUUUUGCUGGAUUUAACAGUUCUCCCUGAAGCUACGUACAAAUUUUGUUCAUUUGCCCUUUUGCUGUAUAUUUCUUAAAGUGCUAUUUUUGUUGUGGUUUCAGUGAUUCUCAUCCAAAAACAUAGCACUCUCAUGUCAUGGAAAAACACUGGACUGGGAGAAUCAAUUCACGUCUCAGUCCUUCCAUUAAACAAACAGAUUUGAGCUUUUGGAAAACCACUUUAACUCUUUGGACUUCAGCUACGCUAGCUGCAUGUCGGUCUGCCACGUAAGGUCACUCUUUUGUCUAAUAUUUUAUGUCUUUAUUAGAACAAGCACAUUACGGUGAGCUACAAGGAUGCUUGUCUGUAGAAAAUUGACAUCUCAAGCUUCAGA